rnacentral:rRNA from 1 species
ACGGAAGGCAGCAGUGAGGAAUAUUGGUCAAUGGGCGAGAGCCUGAACCAGCCAAGUAGCGUGCAGGAUGACGGCCCUAUGGGUUGUAAACUGCUUUUAACCGGGAAUAACGUUACCUUCGUGAAGGUAAGUGCAUGUACCGGUUGAAUAAGGAUCGGCUAACUCCGUGCCAGCAGCCGCGGUAAUACGGAGGAUUCGAGCGUUAUCCGGAUUUAUUGGGUUUAAAGGGAGCGUAGGCGGGAAGUCAAGUCAGCUGUGAAAUGUAGACGCUCAACGUCUGCACUGCAGUUGAAACUGGUUUUCUUGAGUGCGUAAGAGGCAGGCGGAAUUCGUCGUGUAGCGGUGAAAUGCUUAGAUAUGACGAAGAACUCCGAUCGCGAAGGCAGGUGUCCGGGGUGUAACUGACGCUGAGGCUCGAAAGUGCGGGUAUCAAACAGGAUUAGAUACCCUGGUA